CCUACGGGUGGCAGCAGUGGGGAAUAUUGGACAAUGGGGGCAACCCUGAUCCAGCCAUGCCGCGUGUGUGAAGAAGGCCCUCGGGUUGGAAAGCACUUUCAGUGAGGAAGAACGCCUGGUGGUUAAUACCCAUCAGGAAAGACAUCACUCACAGAAGAAGCACCGGCUAACUCCGUGCCAGCAGCCGCGGUAAUACGGAGGGUGCGAGCGUUAAUCGGAAUUACUGGGCGUAAAGCGCGCGUAGGUGGCUUGAUAAGCCGGUUGUGAAAGCCCCGGGCUCAACCUGGGAACGGCAUCCGGAACUGUCAAGCUAGAGUGCAGGAGAGGAAGGUAGAAUUCCCGGUGUAGCGGUGAAAUGCGUAGAGAUCGGGAGGAAUACCAGUGGCGAAGGCGGCCUUCUGGACUGACACUGACACUGAGGUGCGAAAGCGUGGGUAGCAAACAGGAUUAGAUACCCUUGUAGUC
rnacentral:rRNA from 1 species